rnacentral:lncRNA from 1 species
GAGCAAGACUCACUCCAUCUCAAAAAAAAAAAAAAAAAAAAAAAAAGGAAUGAAGUGCUAUUACCUACUACAACAUUGGUAAACCUCAGAAACAUUAUCAAAAGGGAAAGAAGCCAGACAGAAAAGGCCAUACGUUGCAUGAUUCCAUUUAUAUGAAAUGACCAGAAUAAGCAAAUCUAAACUAAAAAUUACUGAAUUCUACACUUUAAAUGGAUGAUUCUAUGGUAUGUAAAUAAUAUCUCAAUAAACAGCAGUUAUCAAAACAAGUAACACAAAACCAAAAAAUUAGGCUGCCGCAGCCUUCUCUAUUCAAGGCUGGAAAGUCCUGGAGCUCCAGAGUCAUGACCUUCAGAGUUGGUCCCAUUGUUCUGGGCUUGGCUUACGAUGGCACAGGGGCCAAGGGCCAGUGAGAUGGGAUGGGAGUGUCAGGGUUAGUUUUUCCAAGGACAUUGUUGAACAAGCAUUUUUGAAUCAACUGGUGGGUGAGAUCACAGAGUCAGCAGGAGGCUGAUGCAGGUGCCAGGGGAAGCAUUCCACAAGGAAUGACUAAUUGAGGACCAUGUCUUCCUCUCUAAAGUCCUUCCACAGCUGGGGCAGGGAUGGGAAACUAUGGUGACCUCAAGUGCUCCCAUAUCCUGCCCUUCCUAGGGCAGAAUGGAGUAAGCCCAUUUCUCAUUAUGCAGAUGGCCAGGCAAGGACAAGGAAUUUCUACUUCAGACACUUUUAUAGAUAGGAUUAGAAGUCCAUAUGCUCUGGAAAAUUUGGAAACCUCCUUGCCUAAAGACAGG